GCUGGGGUAGCCAAGUGGUUAAGGCGCAGGCCUGCUAAGCCUGUUCCCUUUUGGGUGCGUGGGUUCGAAUCCCACCCCCAGCG
rnacentral:tRNA from 1 species